rnacentral:lncRNA from 1 species
CGGCCUGGCUCACCUGCUACCCACACUGGGACCGCUUAGAGAGGAAAAUUCCUUUCAGGAUCUGAAAGGAAGGGACCGGGGACCGGAGGGCUGGAGGCAGCCCUUCCCCAUUUCGGGCAGGAAGGCCACGGAGUGAUGCGGAGGCAGUCCCUCAGUC